rnacentral:rRNA from 1 species
GCCGCCGCGGUAACACCGGCGGCCCGAGUGGUGAUCGUGAUUAUUGGGUCUAAAGGGUCCGUAGCCGGUUUGGUCAGUCCUCCGGGAAAUCUGAUAGUUCAACUAUUAGGCUUUCGGGGGAUACUGCCAGACUUGGAACCGGGAGAGGUAAGAGGUACUACAGGGGUAGGAGUGAAAUCUUGUAAUCCCUGUGGGACCACCUGUGGCGAAGGCGUCUUACCAGAACGGGUUCGACGGUGAGGGACGAAAGCUGGGGGGCACGAACCGGAUUAGAUACCCGGGUAGUCCCAGCCGUAAACGAUGCUCGCUAGGUGUCAGGCAUGGCGCGACCGUGUCUGGUGCCGCAGGGAAGCCGUGAAGCGAGCCACCUGGGAAGUACGGCCGCAAGGCUGAAACUUAAAGGAAUUGGCGGGGGAGCACAACAACGGGUGGAGCCCUGCGGUUUAAUUGGACUCAACGCCGGACAACUCACCGGGGGCGACAGCAAUAUGUAGGCCAAGCUGAAGACUUUGCCUGAAUCGCUGAGAAGUGGUGCAUGG